AUUGAACGCUGGCGGCAGGCUUAACACAUGCAAGUCGAGCGGGGAAAGGUAGCUUGCUACCUGACCUAGCGGCGGACGGGUGAGUAAUGCUUAGGAAUCUGCCUAUUAGUGGGGGACAACAUCCCGAAAGGGAUGCUAAUACCGCAUACGUCCUACGGGAGAAAGCAGGGGACCUUCGGGCCUUGCGCUAAUAGAGGAGCCUAAGUCGGAUUAGCUAGUUGGUGGGGUAAAGGCCUACCAAGGCGACGAUCUGUAGCGGGUCUGAGAGGAUGAUCCGCCACACUGGGACUGAGACACGGCCCAGACUCCUACGGGAGGCAGCAGUGGGGAAUAUUGGACAAUGGGGGGAACCCUGAUCCAGCCAUGCCGCGUGUGUGAAGAAGGCCUUUUGGUUGUAAAGCACUUUAAGCGAGGAGGAGGCUACCGAGAUUAAUACUCUUGGAUAGUGGACGUUACUCGCAGAAUAAGCACCGGCUAACUCUGUG
rnacentral:rRNA from 1 species